UACAGAGGUCCCAAGCGUUGUUCGGAUUCACUGGGCGUAAAGGGUGCGUAGGUGGCUGGGUAAGUCUGAUGUGAAAUCUCGAAGCCUAACUUCGAAACUGCAUCGGAUACUACUUGGCUAGAGGUCUGGAGGGGGGACUGGAAUUCUCGGUGUAGCAGUGAAAUGCGUAGAUAUCGAGAGGAACGCCAAUGGCGAAGGCUAGUCCCUGGACAGAUCCUGACACUGAGGCACGAAAGCUAGGGGAGCAAACAGG
rnacentral:rRNA from 1 species